UGACCUUCGGAGCCCACGGUAUGGGCUGGU
rnacentral:sRNA from 1 species